ACGCCUAACACAUGCAAGUCGAACGAAGUAGCAAUACUUAGUGGCAGACGGGUGAGUAACAUGUAGGUAUCUACCCUAUGGCCUGGAAUAACACGAGGAAACUUGUGCUAAUACCGGAUAAGUCUCAACAGAGAAAGCUUUAUGCACCAUUGGAUGAGCCUGCACUUGAUUAGUUUGUUGGUAGGGUAAUGGCUUACCAAGACUUUGAUCAAUAGCUGAUUUGAGAGGAUGAUCAGCCACAUUGGGACUGAGACACGGCCCAAACUCCUACGGGAGGCAGCAGUGGGGAAUCUUGCACAAUGGAGGAAACUCUGAUGCAGCGAUGCCGCGUGAGUGAAGAAGGCCCUUGGGUUGUAAAGCUCUUUCGUCGGGGAAGAAAAUGACUGUACCCGAAUAAGAAGGUCCGGCUAACUUCGUGCCAGCAGCCGCGGUAAUACGAAGGGACCUAGCGUAGUUCGGAAUUACUGGGCUUAAAGAGUUCGUAGGUUGUUGAAAUAGUUGGUGGUGAAAUCCCAGAGCUUAACUCUGGAACUGCCAUCAAAACUUUUCAGCUAGAGUAUGAUAGAGGAAAGCAGAAUUUCUAGUGUAGAGGUGAAAUUCGUAGAUAUUAGAAAGAAUACCAAUUGCGAAGGCAGCUUUCUGGAUCAUUACUGACACUGAGGAACGAAAGCAUGGGUAGCGAAGAGGAUUAGAUACCCUCGUAGUCCAUGCCGUAAACGAUGUGUGUUAGACGUUGGAAAUUUAUUUUCAGUGUCGCAGCGAAAGCGAUAAACACACCGCCUGGGGAGUACG
rnacentral:rRNA from 1 species